AGAACCAGGGGUCAUCCCAUGAAACUGAAGGCCGGUAAUUUUAGGACCAAAAAAAGUUAAUACCUCUUAGAGCCUUCACCACUUUGUACUCUACACAAAAGACUUCCAAAAGAGGCCUUGCACUUCUCAACAAGUUGCAAUCUCAAGAGGAACUAAUAAGGCUUCUCCUUAUCGCACCAGUGAUGGAGCCAUCGACAAAAGCAAAAAGACAGAAUGGCAACAUCUAAAGAAGGAACAGUUCCACAUUCUUUGCAGUCUAUAUAUCCAGUUAUGCAAGAAACCCUGAACUGCUUCUUCUUUACAAGUGUUUCUAAUCAGCCUUCACAGUACUAUUCCCAUAUCAGAAAUAUAUGCAGACCUCUAUCUUUGUAUAUUCAUAUAAAAGAGAAUACACACUCACUCACUCAUGGUGGUUUUGCAUGAUUGCCACUAAGCAGGUAAGUACGCAUAUGCUUCUAGCAAGCAUGUAAUGUGAAACCACUAAGCGCCAGUUCCUGCACCUCAUUACCAAAAGUUUCCCAACUUCUGCAACCAAGAUUUGAAGCUGUGUAAUAGGUGGGGAGGGUCUUGGAAAUGCAGCACAAGAAUCAGUAGUGGCAGCUUCACAAGACAUGCCAACUGGGAGCCCACACUCACUGGGAACUUCUAGUUCCUGCCUUACCUACUUAGUGGCAAACAUACAAACCUGCCCUAAAUAAAAUGUAUAUAAAAAGGGACUUGAUCUAUAUCUAUUUCAUGACAAUAUACAUUCAAAAGUUUAUGUUUGCUGGGGAUAGGAAGAGGGAUAAAGUACAAACAAUGUAUUUUUCUUGUACAACGGUUCACAAGCCAAGGUUUUCAUGAUUCCUUCUUCUUUCCAUAUGCUUGAAAUUUUUAUUUAUGCAAUUCUACCUAGAAAAUGUGUCCGUGGGCCAGUUCGGAUGAGCAGAAGCAAUAAGGUCAAGGACAUGCUGUAAGUGCACCCACCCUGAUGUCACAGGACAUGCUCUCAGGGAGUCCCUUAAUCACAUGAGGUGGGCAGUGUUCCCUCUAAGGCAUAUGCACAUGCUCACAUGUUUUUUUUAAUGUCAGAGGCUUCACUCUGAAUGCAUGUGCACACACACUGCUUUGAUACUGCCACCCAGAAAAAAGCCUCAUUCUGCACACAGAUAAAAAAAAAAAAUUAGAGAGAACGCUGGAGGGGGCUGUUCAUUUGAUCACCUCUCUACAUGUGUUCCAGAGUUUUGGAACACAAACAGAGAGGCAAUUCACAUGUGAUUAAGGGAUGCCUGAGUGUGCAGGAUAUCCUCUUGGCGUGUCCCUGUCCUUAUCACAUGUAGCAGGCAGUACUUGUCCAAACUGGCCCUAUAAUGUUCCAACAGUGGGAGCGAGGAGUAAAGUAAAGGUUAACACCAUUUGGCACAUCUUGCUACUAAAAUCCUUCCAAAAGGCACCUAAGUUAUUUGGGUUUCAAAAUUAAUGACAGAUGGUGACUCAGUUCCUUAAGUUGGUGUCAGUAUAAUAAACUAUUAAAUAACACUCACCAAAGGGUCCUGCUAUCCUGAGACCAGCCAGUGGAUUGAAGGGGCUCAAAACUGCUCCAAGUGCUUUGAUCCAGAUAGGAAUUGGUCUCUCAUGUUCAGCAUUGGAAGGCCUUUCUGGAAAACCCCAUGGCUCCACUAAUAUCAGAUGCUUUGCCCUGUAGAUAUAAAAAAGGUAAGAGGUUUUGUCAACAGCAGAGUAUUUAAAACAGUACCUGUUAUAUUCUAGAAUCAGCUCUACCUAGGUUAUUAUUUUCUUUAGUUUUCAGGAGAAAGUUGUUUUAGAUGGCUCCUACUCUACAUACGUCACCUUAAGUGGCACAGCGGGGAAAUGCUUGACCAACAAGCAGAAGGUUGUUGGUUCGAAUCCCCACUGGUUCUAUAUCGGGCAGCAGCAAUAUAGGAAGAUGCUGAAAGGCAUCAUCUCAUACUGUGUGGGAGAUGGCAAUGGUAAAUCCCAUCUGUAUUCUACCAAGGGCACAUCUUACUUUACAUACACAGCAAAGGUUAGCUACUUGGUAUUGUCAUGCCCCCUAUUCGAGGACACUGGAGAGGAGUGGGAGGUAGGUGACUUACUAGAAAGUGGGGGGGAGGGGGCGCGCCUGAGGAGGAGCAGGCCGGUGAUGUGAAUGGGGAGGUAAUUGAGACAGGACAGGGCAAGUGUUUGGUGCAGAAGGGGCCAGCAGGGCUGGGUGAUCUUUGGAGAGAAGGUUCAGGAUCUGAGCCAGAGUUUGAAUGGCCACUAUCUCCUUGAGGACGCAGACGAGAAACAAGUUUAUAAAGCUUCUGCUACAAAGGGUCCUGAUGUUAUUGCAGCUUUACACAACAACUUAUCCUGUUUCUCAAUCUUCUCUCCAAUACUAGCAUCUGGGAAUACAUACUUAUAUGAAGUCAGCUAACAUAGGCUAAUUCCAGAUAAACUGAACUAAUACAUCUGUAAUAACAUAGAAGGGCUGAGAUAUAAAAAGCCUGAUGUGUGCACAGAUAUCAGCUGCAUAUGUGCAAGGGGUGCAUGCACUGGUAACCCCACUACCUCCACCAGGCGGCAUCUCAUCUUUCAUCACACAUGUUGCUCUGGAAGGUCUCCCAACCCUCAGGAGCCGCUUUUGAGAGCACACAAAGGACUGGAGAGGAAUAUGGGGACUGGAAAAAUUCUAGUGUGUUCACAGAACAAUGCACAGCCCUUUGGAAUCCAGUUGAUUAAAAAAAUUACAAAUAUAAAUAUAUUCUGCAAUGUUCUUUAAAUAUCUGUCCAUAUUAUUUUAAGAAUAAUCUUUAAUGUCAGACAGUUUUGCCUAGAGCAUUUUCAUAAGAGAUGCUUAAGCUGUUUUGAGUUUUCCACACGUACAAAAUGCCACCACACUGGCCCACAUCAUGCAUGGCUUUAUGCUCAUGUUCUCAUGCUUUUAGAAAUCUACUUAUCUAGUUGUUAGAUGAAUAAUUAUACUGGUACAAGAAGUAACUGUGAACCAAUGAAUGCAAAGUUUUCCCUGUGCAACAACCAAGGUGGAGAACAUUUUUAAGGGGUGGGGUCGGGGGGAAUUACAGGAAUUACAGAGGAGUAGUUGGCUGGUGAGAAGAUAGCAGGAGCCGGAUUGAAUCUAUGGCAGCUGGUGGGGGUGGAGUGUUGAUUAAGUGCACGUGACUGCUGACUAUAAAUUGAGCAGCCUGUGCCGGGAACAAACUGCUGGAAACAACAUGUCAGAUCUGCUUGGAGCUUUUGUCGGAGAAAUUGUGACUUUGGAAUUUGGGCUUCUCACUUCUGUAUUCCUGGUAAGACUGUUAAACCUGACUAUUUAGCAGUAAAACUGAAACUUGAGCUACUGGCUAUUGUGUCAUAUAUUUCUGGCCAGCGUCUUUCGUUGAGUGACCUCUUGACAGGUAUCACUUCAUUAACUCCUUUUAACUAGCAUAGUCCCCAUACAGAAGGAAAAAUGUACACAUCAAGGGUAGAUUUUGUGUUGUCAGCAUUACAUCAUGCUUAUGUGGUAAAGUGUGCUGUCAAAUUGAUUUCAACUCCUGGCGCCCACGGAGCCUUGUAGCUUUCUUUUGGUAGAAUACAGAAGGGGUUUACCAGUGCCUCCUCCCGCGCAGUGUGAGAUGUUGCUUUUCAGCAUCUUCCUAUAUUGCUGCUGCCCGAUAUAGGUGUUUCCCAUAGUCUGGGAAACGUACCAGCGGGGAUUCGAACUGGCAACCUUCUGCUUGUUAGUCAAGAAUUUCCCAUCUGCGCCACUUACAUAACCAUUUAUAAUUGUGCAACCUAAUAUAUUCAUUGGGUUUGUCCAUACCUUACACUUCAAUGCAUGGUUAUAGAUAGCUCUCAUGAUACUAGGCGAUAUAUACUCAUGCAUACAAAUGGCCACAGCUAAGAACAACUUAGCAGCAAAGUAAUAGAAAGUUUAGGGCAUGAACGACUAAAAAAACCAUAGUAGAAUAUCACAAGAAACUGAAAUUUAUCUUGUGAUAUUGCAAUUAUGGUAAUCACUACCAUGACCAAAUGUGACAAGAUCACAAAUACUAUAUUAAUCUCACUAUUGGCAUAUUCUGGAAUAAAAUGUGUAGUCCUUUAGUCACUUAGCAUCAUGCAAUGGUUUAAGAUACAGUGCAUUAUUAUGAAUCAGACUCUGUGUCCACUGAGAUACAAGAAGGGCUUGAUUUGACUUUCAUCCCAAUUGGAUGCAAUUGGAUACUAACCUUUCUGCAAAAAGAAUCACUGGGUGCUAUGUGAAUUGUGAUAUAUCACUCCUCAUGUUCCACUUCCAUGUUUCCCUCCCAUCCCCAAGGCUUGCAUAGUAUUACAGAAGGUACAGGCAUUUGCAUAAUUUGCCUGUACAUAAUUCGUGCCCAUUAAAAAAAAAAAGGAUAAAAAGACGAACCCUCCUAGUUAAUUUGUUUCCAAAAUCAACGGGGCUAACUUCCUAGUAAACACUGUUAAGAUUAGGUUGUAGCUUCAUUUGAACGUGAAUAUACUACUGUUCUAUUUGUACUUCUCCACUAAUUAUCUGUGGAUUAGCAUAUUUCAUUCUAAUAGAAUAGUAUUGCUGAAAAAGAGUUAAUUCACAAGUUCACCACUAUUAGGCUUACUAGCCAUGUAGUACCCUCCCAGAUUAUAAACGUAAUCCUCAUCAGUGUUCCCUCUAAUUUUUUCAUCUGUGUGUGGAAUGAGUUUUGUUCUGGGCAGCGGUAUCAAGACAGUGUGCGCGCGUGUGCAUUCAGAAUGGGGUCUUCCUGAUUCAACCUGAGCAGGAUCUAAAAUUAACUGAGCGGACAUCAAAAAACCUGUGAGCGCACGCACAUAUGCACACCUUAGAGGGAACACUGAUCCUCAUACUUUCAUUAUGGAUACACAACUGUUAAGUCUGAUUUUAUAUAAAAUUCUUAUAUAUUACACACACUGUAUAUAUUCAUAUUCCAAUAACUUUAAAUAAUAUUACAUUCCAGAUAUUUUCCAAUUCCACAUAUGACUGCAGCAGUUACAUAAGGCAGGCUUGCAUUCAGUGGCAUUUAAGUAAAAGGUCAAUCUAUAUCCAAAACAAUUUUUCUAUCCCUCUUAAACUUAGUUGUUCUUAAGCAAAAGGAAUGGUAUUUGUUUAUUUUAAUGAAAACUGCAACCCACUUAACAAAUAUUUGUCUUCCAGUUCUUCAGAAUUUGUGAAUGUUCUGGUUUUCACAUAGUAGAAUCUGGCUAGAUGCAUUCAUUUCUUUAAAACAUGACAAUCCAAAGAAACAGCACAGUAUACCAUUGUGUUUUAAUUUCAAAAAAAUGGCAUAUUUAUUCCAUCCCAGGAGAUUACACACUAGAAACUAGAGGAUUAAUCUAACUGUUUUUGAAGAGAUCCACCCCUCAAUCUUGACUAUCCCCAACAGUUAGGAUUGUGCAGAGAAUGCUACCUUGAAGGGAAAAUAGAUUAUUGGUUACUGGAUACGGAUGAACUGAGGUCCAUGCUAUUACCAAGUCUGUGCACAUUUAUAGCAAAUACUGUUGCCAAAUGCAUUUUGAGACCAUCACACUAGCAGCCAGGCUAUUUGCACAUAAUAAGCAGCUGAACAGUGUUUCAGAGAAAAUCUUUUACUACAGAAGAUUAAGUAGUAAGGAAAUACAGCAUUGUUUUGUUAAUAUAUGUACAGUAAAUACAUGGAAAGCCAUGGACAGAAGCCCAGUUCUGUGACAACUCUUCCCACUUCCAACUCUUCCCCUUCUCUCUUAUUUAUGUUAAUAAAGCUGUAAUGUAAAAUAAUGUUAAUAAAGCUUUAUGUUAAUAAAGCUGUAAAAAAAUAAAACAAAUGUGUUAAAUAAAUACAUAAUAGAUACUGGGCCUCAGCUCUUUCACUAAGAACACUACUCCUCAUCACCUUUUCGGUUCGCAUCUGUCAUCUGUCACUACUUUCUCCAUCUCCCUUUCCAUUCUCUUUGAUGGUUCUGUUCUGUAGUCAUGCUUAAAUCCAGCUCAUUAUCUUAAUAUGUAAAAUGGGAAAGAGUAUAUGGUGUAAUAAUCUUGCUAAGGAACUGAAAUGAGCUUCCCUUCAGACACAUUAGAAACUGCCAACAUGCCUCGGAACUAGUCAAUGUGACAUGUUUGUGUAAAAAUCAUAGUGGGGGCAGGCAGAUGCCCACAUAACACCUUAGACAAGCACACCAUAUAUUCAGGAAGCAAGCCAUCCCUGCAUAUAAAGCCAGAGGCACAUUGGCAAAUUUGUGAACUGGAAGCACCAUAUAAACUGUCACAUGCAGGUGCCAUGUGAAGAGACACAACACUACAAGGGGAGUACAGUUUGCAUUUCGGUUUAAAGGUAAUCUAAUUAUGAAGCUAGUUUCUCAACCAUGCCCUAUUUGAAGCUAAAUAAUAGAGAACUUUGUCUAAUCCGACUGCUUCAUGCUGCACACAUUUAUGCAAGAUAUACUGUACUAUGUUCUGUACUAUGUUCUACUGUCAAACCAAAGAUACUUAUAACAGAACCUCUAAAUAAGAUACAGGAAGAACUUCCAUUUAUAUAUCAUUGUUAGAUACCUUGAUGGGUACUUCAGUGAGUAAGCAGCUGCCAGGAAUCCACCCAGGUUAUGUCCAAGCAAAAUCAUCCUGUCCAACCCUAUUUUCCGUCUCCAUUCUUCAAUAGAUUCUACAAACUGUUUUUCUGCUACUUCUGCAUCAGUGUCAAACAGUGGUCUACUACUGCGUCCAAAUCCUAAGAGAUCAAACGCAUACACGGUCCUAUUUUCACAAAGGUCUUCAAAGUUCAGAGCCCAAAGUCCAACACCUCCUCCAAACCCAUGGAGGAGAACAAGUGGAGUUUUCUGUGAAAGGUUCUGAGAGAAUGUUAGCGUCCAUAUUUUAUUUCCAUUGGAUAUGAAGACAUAUUGUUUACUGUAUGAACUUGUGAUACCUGAAGGAAGACAGACAAACCUUAUAUUUUAUUAUUAGAAACAAUUUUACCUAAUUAUACAAUUAUACUAGCUAGUUCCAUGAAGCAUAAGGGCCAGCUACUCCCAAUCCCCAUAUGGCAUCUUACAGCACAACCAGAAUGGCAGGAGCAGUGCCUGCAAAAAAGGCAACACAAUUACAUCUUGAACACUCACAUGGGCAGCAUAGCCUGUGUAUAACCCUUAAGAUUUACUUGGUGCAUUUUUGCAAGUUAUUUUAAUUCCUUUUCACUUGUUUUGUUUUCUACAGCGGUAGAUUUUAUUUCUGUCCUAAAAGUCAGAGUGUGCUUCCCUUAUUUAAGUAGAAAAAUAUCUAGAAAUGAAAUGAUUUUUUUUAAAAACCAAAAUGAUUCUGAUAGUAAAGUAGGUGGCAGGAAGCAUAAUGGUGCAAGAUUUCUAUCAGGAUCAGUCAUGCAGGAAUGUUUGCCUCUUUAAUGAGUUACGAAGCUUUUGUGCAAAAAUAUUAGAAAGCUCAGCACAAAUAGCAUCAAUGCCUGCAGGCAGUGCUGUUUCCACUACAAUAUCAUACAAAUAUCAGUAGCAGACUUCUCAAGAAUUGUCAGUCUGGAGCACCCCUAAUUAAUUUUGUGCCCUGCAUAACUUGGAACCUGUUCAAUUGUAAUGGGGGUGGGGGCAGGAAGCAGCCCAGCAAAUGUUUCAUAUACUCCUCUCUCUCACCCUAUAAAAAAGGUCAGCUGUACUUUGCUAACUUGAAUGUUGUAUCUUCUUGAUAAACACUUUCAUUCUUUCUAGGGUCAGACUAGAUGGUAAAGAUACCACACUAGAAUGUGCUAAAACCACGUUCAUUACUUUUUAUAUUUCUUUCCUCAAGCCCAGAAGGGGCAAGGACACAGGAGGCAUGUCAGAAUGAGAUUUCUUACCGAGGAUUGAAUAAACUUGGGAGGAGGAGAUUCAGUGACACUGUGGUUAUAUGAAUUCUUUUUCAAGAGUUGCAAGAUGAUACUACAACCAAAUGUGGGACAAAGUCACAGCUGCUCUGAAAGGCAUAGUAGGUCGAAAUGGAAAGCUAUGCUCUCUACCCACUAUAUUCAGCCUGUUUGCAAAGACUGUUACAGAUCCACACAAAAAGACUCCGGGUUAAACCCCAAAGUGUCCUUCAGUGCAGAAGGCAGAUACUCAGAGGUGUGGGUUUUCCAUUAAAAAAAUUGAAUUGGGAAAUUUCUCAGAAAUAUUAACUUAUAGUGGGCUUUAAAAGGAAGGGAAGACUGGCAAAAGUCACCCCCAUCCCACUCAAGCGAUAGCACACCAGUAGUUUGGACUCACACUGCUGCAUGUGCAAGUAUGCAAUGCUAAUCCAGAUGUCAGCCAAUAUAAUUUUAGAAACUGUAAAGAUUUCCACCAGAAAAAUAAGGUAUGGGAAAUUUUUCUACCCAUAUUUCUGCAGCUGCUGAUCAUGGAAGGGCGUCAUUAUGCCUUGUCUAGAGCCUGCAUGAGAAAAGAUCCAAAAAUAUCCUUGGCUUGCACAAGCAGAUGCAAGAAAACUGCUAUAAAACCUACACUCUAGCAAUGGGUAAACUCUUGCACAAGUGUUCACCACCUUAGUUCCUGACAGGCAGGGUACCAUUAUAUUGCAUGUAUAUGGUUUAUUACAAUAAAAUAUUAAUAAUAAAUAAAUGGCUCACAUUACUGUGCUAGUGGAGAUUUUUCUUCUGUUCACAGAUGUUUUGAUCCAACCCAAAAGA